GCCAAAUUCAGCCUUAAGCAUCACAUCCUGCGAAAAAAAAAAAGAAGCCUUGAGCAUCGCAAGUUCACUACUUAGAGCUUCAAUAUUUUGAUCAAGAAUGCCUUAAUUUUAUCUCAAAAUCUCUAAACUACUAAUUCAAUCCAUUAUUAUUUCAAAUAUUUACAAAAUGUUCACCCUUUUUUUAACACAUUGAUGCACACAAAAAAAAACAAUCAAAUUUUGAUGCUUUGUUCUCACUAUCUCCACCAUUUAGGAGCCUGCGCCAAACGCCGAUCACUUCCCUUAGGCCAAAAACUCCAUGCCCAGAUUCUUAAACUUGGUCUUCAUCUAUAUGGCCCACUACCCAACUCUUUACUUGAUAUGUAUGGUAAAUCCGGUGUUAUUAAAGAUGCCCACAAAGUGUUCGAGGAAAUGCCUCGUAGAAACUUCAUUUCUUGGGCUUCAAUUCUUACUGCGUAUAAUCAUGUUGAUCUUCCUCAUAAAACACUUUUUAUGUUCUUUAAAAUGUGGGAACUUGAUAAGUUACAACCUGACCAUUUUGUGAUUGCUAGUCUUGUCAGGGCUUGUGCUAAAUUGGGUUUUGUUAGGGUUGGUAAGCAAGUACAUGCUCAUUUUGUUGUGUCACCUUUUUAUAAGGAUGAUGUUGUUAAGUCAUCGUUGGUUGAUAUGUAUUCGAAAUGUGGGUUGAUUGAUUAUGCUAGGUGUGUUUUUGAUUUGAUUGAGGUGAAAAAUACAGUUUCUUGGACGGCUUUGAUUUCAGGUUAUGCUCGGAGUGGGCAGAAAGUCGUGGCUUUGGAGCUUUUCAUGAAGAUGCCUGAUAAGAACCUGUUGUCAUGGAGUGCUUUGAUAUCCGGGUUGGUGCAAAGUGGCCAUGGAAAUGAUGCUUGUAGAAUUUUUACGAUGAUGAGAAGAGAGGUCGAUCAUGGUGCUGACCCGUUUAUUCUUUCGAGUCUUAUUUCAGGAUCUGCUGAUAUGGCAGCUCUUAAGUUAGGGCGACAAUUACAUUGUGUGGUUGUAAAGCUUGGGUUUGAACAUAACUCAUUCAUUUGCAAUGUUCUUAUUGAUAUGUAUGCUAAAUGCAGUGACCUUUUGGAGGCAAAAACCAUUUUUGCUCGGAUACCUAAACGAGACGUUUAUUCUUGGACUUCAAUCAUUGUUGGGAUGGCUCAACACGGCCUAGCAAAGGAAGCAUUGUCACUCUAUGAUGAAAUGGUCAUGUGUGGUGUAAAUCCUAAUGAGGUGACAUUUCUUGGGUUGAUGUAUGCAUGUAGCCAUGUAGGUUUAGUCAGCAAAGGUCGGAACUUUUUCGAUUUGAUGGUUCGGGCUUAUGGUAUGAACCCCUCUCUACAUCAUUAUACUUGCCUAUUAGAUCUCCUUAGUCGUUCGGGUCACCUUGACGAGGCUGAGAAACUCCUAAACACAAUGCCAUACAAUCCUGAUGAAGCCGCUUGGGCUGCUUUAUUAAGUGCUUGCAGAAAACAUAAAAACACAGAGGCUGCAGUUAGGGUUGCUGAUCGUUUAGUGUGCUUGAAACCGAAAGACCCAUCUACAUAUAUAUUGCUUUCUAAUACAUAUGCGGCCGCUUCUAUGUGGGAAAAUGUGGCUAAAGUUCGGAAAUUUAUGUCAUCAAUGGAUCUAAAGAGAGUGGGUGGUUAUAGCUGUAUAGAAGUUGCAAAGGAGAGGCAGGUCUUCUAUGCAGGGGUGACAUCUCAUCCUAUGCAGAAAGAAUUGAUUGGUUUACUUGAGGAAUUGGAUAUGGAGAUGAGAAAGAGAGGUUACAUUCCGGAUACUAGUUAUGUUUUACAUGAACUAGAGCGGCAUGAGAAGGAGAAACAUUUAUUAUGGCAUAGUGAGCGAUGGGCUGUUGCAUAUGGCUUACUAAAAUCUGCUCCUGGUGCUAUCAUACGCAUAGUAAAAAAUCUACGGACUUGUGGGGAUUGUCAUACGGUUCUAAAAUUCAUAAGCAGUAUUGUAAAGCGGGAGAUCAUUGUUCGAGACAUCAACAGGUUUCAUCAUUUUAAGGAUGGUAAUUGUUCUUGUGGUGAUUUUUGGUAGGAUCUUACCAGUGACUUGUGUCUGACUUCAGUAGUUCAGGAUAUGACCUGCCUCUGUUUACUGCUCAAAACCCUUUUUGAGGUACACUCUAGAUAGUUUUAUUCUUGUAGCACCCUUCUUUGAAACUUUCUCCAUUCUUAUGAUGCUCAAGUGUGUGAAUGUGUCAUAAACUAAUGCAAACUUCCUUAUUCACGGAGUUUAACCUUUAUUGUUCUGCUCAUGUAGCUACGAUAUUCGAUACAUUCAUACAUACAUCUAUUAUGAGCUGUUGGGAAAUGCCAUAUUUCAGUGCGAUAUCACAUGCGAACUAUUUUUUUCUACCCUAUCCUCACAUGUGAUCCCAUUUUUUACUUAGGGGAAAACGACAUUCUUUUAGGACGCACACAUUUUUUUUUUGUAGAAGACCAAAAUUUUUUGUUUCCUGGUGAUCGGAAUUGUCGACUCUGAUACAAUGAAAAAUUUGUCACGGGACUUGUAUACAAUAAUAUCCUCAUAAGAGGAAAGUUGACUGUACACAAGCUUGAAGAGGUUUCAUCUUAAAAGCAAUUGGAUGGCCGACCAAAUGCUGAUGAUCAAACUUGCAUAAAAUAUUUUGAACCCUUGCAGAAGAUGGAAUAAUCGAUAUAUAGUAUGUUGCUUACUUUUUGAUAAAAUCCUUUGUACAGUAGGAUUUUGAGAAAGAAUAGAUCGUAUAUUGAUAAUACUUCAUGAUUACAACAAGAAGGGAAAGUUCCUUUAUAUAGAGUCAGUCUUCAACAAUUUGGAGGCUCUGUGUAAAACUUUUAUUUUGCGUCUUAUUUAUAGUUUAUAUAUUUAUUUUAUUAAUAAAAUUAACAUAUUUCUUUUUAUAAUUAACUUUUUUAUAUAUGGGAGAAAGAGUAGGCUCUGUGUGGUCGAUCACCUCGCACACCCUCAAAGAGCUGUCUGCCUUUAUAUAGACAAGUAAAAGAAACACUAUCCUAGUACAGAAGAGAAAACGAAGAAAUAAAGAAACUCAACAAAAAGUUGUUACAAUAAUUAAUAUGUUGGUGUGGCACGUUGAGUCUGUUAUUGCUGUUGAUGAGAAUCUUGGUGAGUAGGAUAAUGAGACUUCACCUUGCUGCCUUGUAUAUUCCAAUAUUAUCAAUGAUUAAUAUGAAUAAUUAAGCAAUAAAAAUAUAGUUAAUUCAAAAAUUGUUAGCUGUAUUUAAUCUCAGGACUCACGGCGCUGUAUGCGUUAUAAAAAUGAAACUGUUUAUAUAUAAAU